AAUGAACGCUGGCGGCGUGCGUAACACAUGCAAGUCGAACGUGAAAGUCCCCUUCGGGGGAUGAGUAAAGUGGCAAACGGGUGAGUAACACGUGGGUAACCUGCCCUCUGGUGGGGGAUAACCCUGCGAAAGCGGGGCUAAUACCGCAUAACAAGUCGCUAAAUAAUUAGUCGACUUCAAAGCCUUCGGGCGCUAGAGGAGGGGCCCGCGUCCCAUUAGCUAGUUGGUAGGGUAACGGCCUACCAAGGCUGCGAUGGGUAGCCGGCCUGAGAGGGUGUCCGGCCACACUGGAACUGAGACACGGUCCAGACUCCUACGGGAGGCAGCAGUGGGGAAUUUUGCGCAAUGGGCGAAAGCCUGACGCAGCGACGCCGCGUGGGUGAUGAAGUUCUUCGGGUUGUAAAGCUCUGUCUGGAGGGACGAAGGAAGUGACGGUACCUCCGGGAGGAAGCCACGGCUAACUACGUG
rnacentral:rRNA from 1 species